rnacentral:rRNA from 1 species
AGAGUUUGAUCCUGGCUCAGGACGGAACGCUGGCGGCGUGCCUAACACAUGCAAGUCGAGCGAGAGACUUCGGUCUCUAGCGGCGGACGGGUGAGUAACACGUGGGUAACCUGCCUCAUAGAGGGGGAUAGCCUUCCGAAAGGAAGAUUAAUACCGCAUAACAUAGUUUAACCGCAUGGUUAGAUUAUCAAAGGAGUAAUCCGCUAUGAGAUGGACCCGCGGCUCAUUAGCUAGUUGGUGAGGUAACGGCUCACCAAGGCGACGAUGCGUAGCCGACCUGAGAGGGUGAUCGGCCACAUUGGAACUGAGAUACGGUCCAAACUCCUACGGGAGGCAGCAGUGGGGAAUAUUGCACAAUGGGCGAAAGCCUGAUGCANCAACGCCGCGUGAGUGAUGAAGGCCUUCGGGUUGUAAAGCUCUGUCUUUGGGGACGAUAUUGACGGUACCCAAGGA